GUGACAUUCUUUGGCACCAUCAGGAAACCAGCCCGUGGGUUUAUGUGUAACCUCUCUAAGCAAAGGGGCCAGGUGCAUGAGCGAGAUGGCCGGAGUAGUAGCUCCGAACAGUUCUGGCCUCCCCUCCCUUCUGGUUCAUUGAGGCAGCUUACUGAACUUCAAGCUACCAUGCUCUCAAAACUACAAUAAAAUGCAAUAAAAUGACCCACGGAGAGGCUGCAGAGAUGGCUCAGCGGUUAGGAGCACUGACUGCUCUUCCAGAGGUCCUGAGUUCAAUUCCCAGCAACCACAUGGUGGCUCGUGACCACCUAUCUAUCUAUAAAGGGAUCUGAUGCCCUCUUCUGGUGUGUCUAAAGACAGCGAUGUACUCACACAAAAUAAAUAAAUAAAUAAAUAAAUAAAUCUUUAAAGAAAGAAAGACCCAUGCAAA
rnacentral:lncRNA from 1 species